UUAAAUUGAAGAGUUUGAUCAUGGCUCAGAUUGAACGCUGGCGGCAGGCCUAACACAUGCAAGUCGAACGGUAACAGGAAGCAGCUUGCUGCUUUGCUGACGAGUGGCGGACGGGUGAGUAAUGUCUGGGAAACUGCCUGAUGGAGGGGGAUAACUACUGGAAACGGUGGCUAAUACCGCAUAAUGUCGCAAGACCAAAGAGGGGGACCUUAGGGCCUCUUGCCAUCAGAUGUGCCCAGAUGGGAUUAGCUUGUUGGUGAGGUAACGGCUCACCAAGGCGACGAUCCCUAGCUGGUCUGAGAGGAUGACCAGCCACACUGGAACUGAGACACGGUCCAGACUCCUACGGGAGGCAGCAGUGGGGAAUAUUGCACAAUGGGCGCAAGCCUGAUGCAGCCAUGCCGCGUGUAUGAAGAAGGCCUUCGGGUUGUAAAGUACUUUCAGCGGGGAGGAAGGUGUUGUGGUUAAUAACCACAGCAAUUGACGUUACCCGCAGAAGAAGCACCGGCUAACUCCGUGCCAGCAGCCGCGGUAAUACGGAGGGUGCAAGCGUUAAUCGGAAUUACUGGGCGUAAAGCGCACGCAGGCGGUCUGUCAAGUCGGAUGUGAAAUCCCCGGGCUCAACCUGGGAACUGCAUUCGAAACUGGCAGGCUUGAGUCUUGUAGAGGGGGGUGGAAUUCCAGGUGUAGCGGUGAAAUGCGUAGAGAUCUGGAGGAAUACCGGUGGCGAAGGCGGCCCCCUGGACAAAGACUGACGCUCAGGUGCGAAAGCGUGGGGAGCAAACAGGAUUAGAUACCCUGGUAGUCCACGCCGUAAACGAUGUCUACUUGGAGGUUGUGCCCUUGAGGCGUGGCUUCCGGAGCUAACGCGUUAAGUAGACCGCCUGGGGAGUACGGCCGCAAGGUUAAAACUCAAAUGAAUUGACGGGGGCCCGCACAAGCGGUGGAGCAUGUGGUUUAAUUCGAUGCAACGCGAAGAACCUUACCUGGUCUUGACAUCCACGGAAGUUUUCAGAGAUGAGAA
rnacentral:rRNA from 1 species